rnacentral:rRNA from 1 species
UACGUAGGGGGCUAGCGUUGUCCGGAUUUAUUGGGCGUAAAGAGCGUGUAGGCGGCCAGGUAGGUCUGGUGUGAAAACUCGAGGCUUAACCUUGAGAUGUCAUCGGAAACCAUUUGGCUAGAGUCCGGAAGAGGAAAGUGGAAUUCCUGGUGUAGCGGUGAAAUGCGCAGAUAUCAGGAAGAACACCAAUGGGCGAAAGCAGCUUUCUGG